rnacentral:rRNA from 1 species
GACGAACGCUGGCGGCGUGCUUAACACAUGCAAGUCGAACGGAAAGGCCCUGCUUUUGUGGGGUGCUCGAUUGGCGAACGGGUGAGUAACACGUGAGUAACCUGCCCUUGACUUUGGGGUAACUUCAGGAAACUGGGGCUAAUACCGGAUAGGAGCUCCUGCUGCAUGGUGGGGGUUGGAAAGUUUCGGCGGUUGUGGAUGGACUCGCGGCUUAUCAGCUUGUUGGUGGGGUAGUGGCUUACCAAGGCUUUGACGGGUAGCCGGCCUGAGAGGGUGACCGGCGACAUUGGGACUGAGAUACGGCCCAGACUCCUACGGGAGGCAGCAGUGGGGAAUAUUGCACAAUGGGCGGAAGCCUGAUGCAGCAACGCCGCGUGCGGGAUGACGGCCUUCGGGUUGUAAACCGCUUUCGCCUGUGACGAAGCGUGAGUGACGGUAAUGGGUAAAGAAGCACCAGCUAACUACGUG